rnacentral:misc_RNA from 1 species
CUGCCCUCCAGCCCGGCUGGUGUGUUGGGCCGCCGUCCCGUUCCCCUCCGGGGGGCUGGGACGGGCCCGAAAGGCAGCGGCGGCACCGCGUCCGGUCCUCGAGCGUAUGGGGCUUUGUCACCCGCUCUGUAGGCCCGGCCGGCGCUGGCCGACCUUCCAACCUAGUGUUAUUUCUCCA